rnacentral:lncRNA from 1 species
ACCCCCGGCACCCCCCAAAACCCCGAGGCGUUGGGGUCGGGACCCCCCGACCCGUGCAGGACGGGCACCCCAUGGCUCGGACAGACGGACAGACGGACAGCCAGCCAGGGGGAGGGCCAGGGGGAGGGAGGGGGGCGGCUCCCAGCCCGGGGGGAGGAACUACAAGUCCCGUGGAGCCGCGCCGCCCGCUGCCGGGCUUUAUAAGGGGGGCAAUGGCCCGGCCGCUGCAGUCGGAGCAUCCCCGGGUCUCUGCUUGGUUCCCCCCCCAAAUAUAAUCCCGGUGCACGGAGCCCCCCCCCCCCCAUCGGGGGAGGUGGAAUCGGGAUCCCCCGGGGGCUGUGGGUACGGAUGAAGAUGAGGAUGAGGAUGGCGAUGCCGGCCCGCAGGAGGCCCUGGAAUCGUGAGAACUUCCAAUGACUUGGCAAAUCGCUCUGAAUCACUGACGUUUGGCGGCCACCUCCACCCAUGCCUGUCCCUUGCCUGCUCCCUCGCCGGGUGUCAGUUCUCGAGCCUACGUGCUGAGAAGAGAAGUUAAAAAGUGGGCGAGUGCUUCCCAGCUGCUGCUCCUCUUCCUCAAGCAGACUCUAACACAUGAAGGAGCAAUAAAUGCAGGUAGAGCCCCCAUCGCCCAUGCUCUUGGCAGGGAUGCGGGACUGGGGGCUGUUCCCAUCCCCCUGGCCGGGGCGCACUCCCACUCUCCCCCGCAGCCCUGCCUUGCCCUUUUGUGGAGAUUUAUAGAGCCGAGUGGGCUGAGAACAAAUGAGCAGACAUUAAGGCGAUGUGUUCUGCAUACUAAUGACAAGAUACUGCUUCUGCACCUCGGGGCAAUACUGGGUCAGGCCAGUUUAGCUGUAAACUUUAUUUAUGUGCUUAUUACAUCGCAGCUGCAGUUUGCUGGCCGGGGCCGAGGGCUUAGAGAUGUGUCCGGCAGUAAAUUUAGUUUGUUUAUUUGAAAUGGGAUGUCUCUUCCCCCCCCCAGCCUUUCUCUUUCCUUCUUGGAAAAAAAAUUAAAAAAAAAAAAAACCUAUCUUUGCUGUUGCAGGCUUGUGAGUGGGGUGGGAGGGAGAGCUAAGGAUGUAGGGUGGCGAUGUGGGGUUCACUUUUGGGACCAGUAGGGUUUAUUUAAGCCUUGCUGCUGGUGUGCAGAGAACUUUAUCCUUCUUGGUCAGUGGCAGCUGGCCCUGAGCUCCCCGUGUUCCUCGUGGCAGGUCCCAGGUCCCUCCAGGAGGAGAGGAAGAGUCCUGUGGGAGCAGGGGAGCCCCUCACCAUCCACGUGUGGC